rnacentral:lncRNA from 1 species
AAGGGGCGAUGCGCCCCGGAGCGGGAGGGACGCAAGGCGCGACCACUGUUACCGCGCUUGGAGACACCAAGGCCGGUCGGACUCCCCGCUGGCCGAAUGUGGGGAGCGAGCAGAUCCAGCCUGUUUGGAUGUGGUGAGGACCCAGCCGUGGGGUUUAAGGCCAAGCUAGCCUCUCCCUUCACUGAUUACAAGAGCCAUUGUUACAGGUGCUCACAUGCCAGGAGAAAUAAGCUGGUGAUUUAUGUGGCACAGCACCAUCGAUCGAUCUACAAAGGAAGCUUCAGUGCAGCCGUGUUGCUAUACAGACCUCUCUCGCCAAGGCGUCAUGAACUGAAGGGCUGGGAGAGGCCUCGUGGAGAAGGAAGAGUUUCGCUCAGCUGCUUGGGUGUGGGACUGAAUGUGGUUCCAGAACUGGUCGCUGCCUUCACCCGCUGACUCUGGUCUCGGCGAUGACAAGCCCAUGGAACAGACUUACGGAGUAUGACCUCAUCGGAGACUUGUACAUGGGGCCAACCCCUCAUUUUCCCACAGGAAACCCACACUCUAAUUAAGGGCUGACCCUGAACUUGAAUCUGAGUCUUCUCUUUCUUCAACAGAGAGCCAUCUCUCCAGCCCAGCUGGCAAGGAGACAGGUGAUGUUACAGGAAAAACUACACAGCUUGUGCCCUUGGAAUUACCGGAGUUCAAAGCCUGUUCAGCAUCUACCCACCAUGUGACCCGGGUCGAAUUCUUCAGUUUCUCUAAGCCCAUUUUCUCAUCUGUAAGAUGGGGAAGUGUAAUCAGUUCUGAACCCACAUAUACCUCACUGGGCUUGAACAGGCCUGAGUAGGCAUGUGGGGCUUUACUAGCUAGCCAUCCUUUCUGCCGCUCUCCCUCAUUCUCCUUCAAGCCCCCCAAAAUCCUUGGUGGAGGAGGAAGUGGAGACAGAACGUUUGGUGUUGGGUGAGGUACGUGAGGAGGCUGAUUUCAGAACCUCCAGGAAACAAAGCUUUAGUGUUCCGAGGGCAGUGCCCGCCUGUGCCUCCUCCUCACAGGGGGCAGUAGGAGUAGGGUGGGGCCGAGGCAUUUCCCAGCACAGCUCAAUCACAUCUCCUGCACCUGCCCUUGUGACCUGCUCACUGGAAAGGGAAGAAAUGACCCAGGGAGAAGGGAGGGCAUUUGAGGGGAGAAGAAGAGGAUGGAGAAAAAAACUGGAUCAUCUCGUGACAUGGAAAGAAAGGUCUGAGCUCUGACGAUUCCCUCAUGUGAUUAUAGGCAUGAGGACUCACUCUUCGAAUUGUUUGAAAAUUGAAUGGACUGGCUCACACCUUCUGAAAUUUCUUGGAAGCUCUGGAGUAACCAUUCCACUAAAGAACAGCGUGUUUUUGGCUGAAAUCUGUGACUGUUUGUUUCUGAGUUAUUUUAAUCUCUGUGUCAAGCAUGAAAACCUCAGCAGCCUGGGAUUUAUAAUUAGAUCCCACUGGCAUGCCCUCUCACCUCUCAAACAUGCCACAGUGCUUUGGCUCUCUCCUUGUGCAAACCUCCCUUUGAUAUUUUUGGAUAUCGAUACCAAGUGUAUCUGCAUAUUUUAACCAACUGAUAUGCAUAUCCUGUGAUCUGAGGCAUUUGCUCAAUGUGGGGCAUCAGGCCAGCUGUGAACUUCCUUUAAAAUUUACUUUGUGGCAAAUGAUUCCCUAAUGCUAUAGCUCCCUUGAACUGCUAGAUUUAUGAAAAUUCUGCACCACACAUAGCUCAGAGAAAAAAAAAAAAAAGAGUGUUGCAAGACCAGAUAUAGGAUAUCGUUUGAUUUGUUUAAAACACUCUGUCCAAGGGGUUUUGACUUGCCAAUUUAAAAAUAAUUCUAAAAUUAGGUACAGUUGACCCUUAGUAUCCAUGGGGGAUUGGUUCCAGGAUGCCCUGCGGAUACCAGAAUCCAAGGAUGCUCAAGUCCCUGACAUAAAUGGCUUAGUGUUUGCAUAUAACCUACUCCCCUCUUCCUAUAUACUUUAAAUAAUCUCUAGAUUACUUAUAAUGCCUAACACAAUGCCUGUGCAUCACUUCAUUCAUGUGGAUUCAAUGUAGUACUUGGUGUGAAGAAAAUUUAAGUCUUGCUUUUUGGAACUUUGUGGAUUUUUUUUUUCUGGAAUGUUUUUGAUAUGCAGUUGGUUGAAUCCACAGGUGCAGAACUAUGGACACAGGGGGCUGACUAUGUAUAUUUAUAUCCACUUGCAAAAUUAAGAAUAAAAAUAAUGUGCAUCAGCAGGUGCAGAUUCUGAUGCUCGGUGGACAGU